GGGGAUAUAGCUCAGUGGUAGAAUUCUUAUCUAGUAGGUACAAGGUCCUGGGUUCAAGUCCCAGUAUCCUGU
rnacentral:tRNA from 1 species